UAAAGGACGUCCUGAAAUAUUUUUAUAAUUUUUGAAAUGCUAAAAAUAAUUGUUUAGACUUUAGAGGAGUUAGAGACCCAAGCUGGAGUUUUGAUGAUUGGAUUUAGAUUAGGUUUUUGUAAGUGCCGGAUGGCAUGUGAUGUUGUUGUUGUAGGCCUGAGGCCAUGUGUGUUACUUGUUGCUGAGUUUGCUUACAAGGGUUUAGGUCUAAUUAUAGGGGAGACUUUGCCAGAAUUUCGGUAAGACGUUAGGAUUUUUCUUAUUUAUGGAAAUUAAAUUAAUUGAUAGAGGCCAGUGCAUGAUUGGGCCGACCGUCCGUCUUUUUCUUUUAGCUAGACCAGCUACAGUCGAGUCAACCAGUCUAUGAG
rnacentral:misc_RNA from 1 species